UAAUACUCCAUAGAUUAGAGACACUGGAAUGUUCUUUAGUCGAAAGUUCUGGCGCCUUAGGAUGGAUCUGCGGUCGAUUAGGUUGUUGUUGGGGUAACGGCCCAACAAGCCUGUAAUCGAUACGGGUUGUGGGAGCAAGAGCCCGGAGAUGGAAUCUGAGACACGAUUCCAGGCCCUACGGGGCGCAGCAGGCGCGAAAACUUUACAAUGCAGGAAACUGUGAUAAGGGAACUCCGAGUGCCCGUAUACGCGGGCUGUCCAGGUGUUUAAAAAUCAUCUGAAGAAAGGGCCGGGCAAGACCGGUGCCAGCCGCCGCGGUAAUACCGGCGGCUCGAGUGGUGGCCACUAUUAUUGGGCUUAAAGCGUCCGUAGCUGGACCGAUAAGUCUCUUGGGAAAUCCGCCGGCUCAACCGGCGGGCGUCUAAGGGAUACUGUUAGUCUAGGGGCCGGGAGAGGUGAGAGGUACUCCGGGGGUAGGAGUGAAAUCCUGUAAUCCCCGGGGGACCACCGAUGGCGAAGGCAUCUCACCAGAACGGCUCCGACAGUGAGGAACGAAAGCUGGGGGAGCGAACCGGAUUAGAUACCCGGUAGUCCCAGCCGUAACUAUGCGCGUUAGGUGU
rnacentral:rRNA from 1 species